rnacentral:rRNA from 1 species
AGUGAACGCUGGCGGUAGGCCUAACACAUGCAAGUCGAACGGCAGCACAGUAAGAGCUUGCUCUUACGGGUGGCGAGUGGCGGACGGGUGGGGAAUACAUCGGAAUCUACUUUUUCGUGGGGGAUAACGUAGGGAAACUUACGCUAAUACCGCAUACGACCUACGGGUGAAAGCAGGGGAUCUUCGGACCUUGCGCGAUUGAAUGAGUCGAUGUCGGAUUAGCUAGUUGGCGGGGUAAAGGCCCACCAAGGCGACGAUCCGUAGCUGGUCUGAGAGGAUGAUCAGCCACACUGGAACUGAGACACGGUCCAGACUCCUACGGGAGGCAGCAGUGGGGAAUAUUGGACAAUGGGCGCAAGCCUGAUCCAGCCAUACCGCGUGGGUGAAGAAGGCCUUCGGGUUGUAAAGCCCUUUUGUUGGGAAAGAAAAGCAGCAGGUUAAUACCCCGCUGUUCUGACGGUACCCAAAGAAUAAGCACCGGCUAACUUCGUG